AUUGAACGCUGGCGGCAGGCCUAACACAUGCAAGUCGAGCGGAUGAAGGGAGCUUGCUCCUGGAUUCAGCGGCGGACGGGUGAGUAAUGCCUAGGAAUCUGCCUGGUAGUGGGGGAUAACGUCCGGAAACGGGCGCUAAUACCGCAUACGUCCUGAGGGAGAAAGUGGGGGUUCUUCGGACCUCACGCGAUCAGAUGAGCCUAGGUCGGAUUAGCUAGUUGGUGGGGUAAAGGCCUACCAAGGCGACGAUGCGUAACUGGUCUGAGAGGCUGAUCAGUCACACUGGAACUGAGACACGGUCCAGACUCCUACGGGAGGCAGCAGUGGGGAAUAUUGGACAAUGGGCGAAAGCCUGAUGCAGCCAUGCCGCGUGUGUGAAGAAGGUCUUCGGAUUGUAAAGCACUUUAAGUUGGGAGGAAGGGCAGUAAGUUAAUACCUUGCUGUUUUGACGUUACCAACAGAAUAAGCACCGGCUAACUUCGUG
rnacentral:rRNA from 1 species